rnacentral:lncRNA from 1 species
UGUUUUUAUUUUUCUUUGUUAUAUUGAAGAUUUCUUUAUCAUUUAAAAAUUCAAAAUAAUUUUUGAAUAAAAUGUUAAAUAAUGAACAAAAAUAUCAAGAUGACACGAAAAGAAGAAACAGAGCAUUAGCAACGCUAGCGUAAAAAAAAUAAGAGCUGCACUGUGCUGCGUAGUAGUACACCCAACGGGACAAUGUUCUAGCAAUUCCAGUAAAAAACACAAAUAAAAAAAUAAAAAAAUAAACACAAGCACAACGAAUAGACGAUGUCAAUACAGCCCAGCAGCAGCCCACGUGUGAGCCAACACAGGCCGACGCAGGCCAACACAUAACAAACAGGGAAACCGAACUCCAGGCAAGCGAACGAAGUUAAACAUAGUUAAACGUGCGAUCAGUUUAUAUACGACGUCAGUUGACUGAGACUUCGCGAAGUUUGAAUCGACUGGGAUCUAGACAGACCCAAAGUGAAAACUAUCCACCACUAAAUCACCUACGUCGGCAAUGUGCCCCCACCCACCCCCACCCCCACCCCACCCACCACUGCUCCCAUCCUGAUCGGCUCCAGCUUGUGUCGCCUACAUUUUUCCAUCUCUUACUCUCUCGACAUGUUGAUCUUUGGAAGAAGCACAAGGGAGAAACACCCGCCCAGAGUCUCCCAUUGCCACGUUGAUUCCUGUCCGCUCCCACGAGCUCUGGACCUCUGCAUGACCUUCUCUUGCAUUUCUUGGCCCCAAUGAUAUUUUUCUCUUUUUAUUUCAAUAUGUUUCAUUGAUAGAUUUAUGUCAUUAUGAAACCCAACAUUGCCUGUUACUUAUCGUUCAUUUAUCAUUCCCAAAUCUUAUUUUUCCAUUAAAAUCAACUACCUCCAUGGUUAUACCUUGUUGAGCUCUGGCUCCAUGGUUAUAUGUGGACACCACAUUAACCACAUAAAUAUAACCCAAACGCCAGUGAACGUUGACAUAAUCCCACUUAACGACUAGUGGUUGGUGCGGGCAAGUCCUCUUGCAUCCCGACGCCAUUGUGAAUAACUGAAGACGAAUGUAGCCUACACCAUUGCGAUAAUCAUGCUGCAUUUGCAUAACUGGUUUCAAGACUAAAACAUAUGUGUCAUAGUACCCUCACUUGUCCAUAGGCAGUUGUAACCUCUCUCUCUGUUUCACCGUCUCUCCUCUUCUAACUCUCUGUUACUGACUUUAUUCUAAGAACGACUAGCAUGAGCAAUCUAGUUCGACAUAAGGCAACACAAAUUUCAAAUUUUCAAUUAUAUGCAAGGCAAAAGGCGAAACAAAGGUACAAUCCAAUGCAAGAACCUGCAGACAAACAACAACGCACGAUAUCAAGGGCUCACUUGUUGAUCCCCUAAAAAAACAUGAGUAGCCUAUUAGUGUGUUCAAUUUGCAUCUUAUCAUGAAUAUAAUUUUGAAUGGUGCUUGGGAUCCUGUAAAAAUCACCAUCUUGCAAGUGAUAACUUCUGGAUGGCGUUGCAGAUACGUGCUAUAAAGUUUAAGUGUAUUCAAAAAAUAGUAGUAAGAAAAAAGAAUGGAGAUACAGCACAUGACAAAAAUGUUGAACUACUAAAAGUGGCAGCAAUUCAAAAAAAAUAAAAUAAAAGCAGAACAUAGCAGCUAAUCAUGAUCAAUUAGGGGAGCACCGAAGCAGAAACAAGCAAGCAACAAACAUCAUGAUCGAACUGCACUUCAAAACCGAAACAAGCAAGGGAACAUCAUAAUCGCUUGCUGCUAGCCGACGAGAGCGGCAUCCCGAAGACGGUGACUAUUUACUAGACUCCUCAGUCAACAGCAUUGUGUGUUGCAGACUCACCAUGGUGGGUCAGUCCUGCAAGCUCCACCAUGCCGAAGGGCAAAGGCGUCAGCCGUGUGCCACAGAUGAACAUCAAUGAACAUAGCAGAACCACAGAUGAACAAAAAAAUAAACAGAGCCAGAGAAGAUCAAAAGUAGGGGAACACCAAAUUUUAAACUUAAAAAACGAGAAGCUCUAAGCAUCAAGGGUUCCAAACCAACAAGCAAACAUCAUCAUCCAUCAUGUCUUUCAGAUCAAACGACUCCAACGAACCACUACUACUACUUGCAGCUAGAUGACACGACGACAGACGACUGGCACCACCGAGCGGCAUCCAGAGGACACCGAGACAGAACACCCAUCAAGUAGCGCGCAGACAUUGGACGAACAGCUUAGUCCACCUCCUCG